rnacentral:rRNA from 1 species
GACGAACGCUGGCGGCGUGCUUAACACAUGCAAGUCGAACGGAAAGGCCCUGCUUUUGUGGGGUGCUCGAGUGGCGAACGGGUGAGUAACACGUGAGUAACCUGCCCUUGACUUUGGGAUAACUUCAGGAAACUGGGGCUAAUACCGGAUAGGAGCUCCUGCUGCAUGGUGGGGGUUGGAAAGUUUCGGCGGUUGGGGAUGGACUCGCGGCUUAUCAGCUUGUUGGUGAGGUAGUGGCUUACCAAGGCUUUGACGGGUAGCCGGCCUGAGAGGGUGACCGGCACAAUUGGAAUGAGGAUCCGGCCAAGCUCCUACCGGAAGGAACAGGGGGGAAUAUUGCACAAUGGGCGGAAGCCUGAUGCAGCAACGCCGCGUGCGGGAUGACGGCCUUCGGGUUGUAAACCGCUUUCGCCUGUGACGAAGCGUGAGUGACGGUAAUGGGUAAAGAAGCACCGGCUAACUACGUG